rnacentral:rRNA from 1 species
UGGGGAAUCUUGCGCAAUGGGCGAAAGCCUGACGCAGCGACGCCGCGUGGGUGACGAAGGCCUUCGGGUUGUAAAGCCCUGUGGGGCGAGACGAGCAGCUCGGGAGCGAACAGGUCCUGGGUCCGACGGUAUCGCCUUAGCAAGCACCGGCUAACUCUGUGCCAGCAGCCGCGGUAAGACAGAGGGUGCAAACGUUGCUCGGAAUUACUGGGCGUAAAGCGCGUGUAGGCGGUUUUGUAAGUCCGACGUGAAAGCCCGGGGCUCAACCUCGGAAGUGCGUUGGAUACUGCGAAGCUGGAGUCCUGAAGAGGAGAGCGGAAUUCCCGGUGUAGAGGUGAAAUUCGUAGAUAUCGGGAGGAACACCUGUGGCGAAGGCGGCUCUCUGGGCAGGUACUGACGC